rnacentral:lncRNA from 1 species
UUCAGUUGACCAAAGAGUAUGGUGGGAGCGCGCCUCAGGAGCGUGUGAUCUGCCAGCUAAAUAAAUGUGCUCAGAUCCAACGCUCCUUGUUUUUUUGCAUUUUUUAUUUUCUGAUUUUAUUUUCUUUAAUUCCUUUUAUUUCAAAAAAUCAUAUCUCUCUCAUUUUAAUUCCAAAAAUUAUGGGACCAAUUGCAUUAGUCUCCAAAUAAUUUCUAAUUUCUAUUUCUGAUUUUUAAUAUUUUUUAUUUUGUCAUUUAAUAUUUUUUGUGAAUUUUCUCUUUUCUAAUUAUUUUUAAUUCAUUUUAAUUAGUUUUUGAUAUUCAAAAAAUACAAAAAUAUUUUCCUAACCUAUUUGAAUGAUGAUGAAUCUAUGAAAAAUAUUCUCAUCAAUUUUUAAAUUG